UUGUUGGAUAGACCCUCUUUUGUUGGAUAUUAUGUACUGUUGUUAGUUUGGAGCACUCCUCUGGUUAGAAGAAAAGAUACCUUUCUGGGAUCAAGUGCAUCCUAACUCACCUGCGUAGGAUGUACUGAUAAUGAUGAUGGAGAUACUGUGCAGAAGCCAUUAUUCUAAUCCCAGGAUCAAAAUAACUAUUUGGAUCACGGCUCUCUAUAUAUAGAUAGGGCCCGAAGAGGCGUUCCGAACUCUCGAAGCCACGGAGAAAAAUAAAAGAAAACCCACCCAGUCCCGCACCUCCCGCGCCGCCCCCUCCCCUCCCCCGUGAACCAGCCACCGGGCCGCCACCGGUCCUAAAUCCGGCCGCCUCCCUGGGACCCGGCCGCCGCGACACCACCUCCCCGGAUCCGGCCACCGGACCGCCUCCUUCCCCCGGAUCCGGCCGGGAUUGAUCCCACCGCCGCCUGCCGCCACCAAGCACUGGCGUGCGACCCCGACGCCGCCUCCCUCCAUGAAGCGCCGGCGCCCGACCCUGUCACCUACCUCUGGUACGCCGUCGCGCCUCCGCUGCCACCUAGGGUGCCCCUGACGUCGCCCAGCUCCUCCUCACGCGACGACCCCCUGCGACGCACGCCUCCUCAUGUUCUGCCCCGGACACGGGCGCCUCCCCGUCCACCCUCCGGCGACCGAAACCAGCUCCGCCCGCCGUAGCAGAGGACAGGCCCCGUUCGUGGCCUCCCCACCCCUCCGCCCGGGUGCGACCUUCCCUGCGCUCUGGCGUGGCCUGCCCUCCCCUCUGGUGUGACCUGCUCUCUGGUACGGCCCGCCCUCCUCCAGCGCGCCUGCACUCUGCUCCGUCGGCGCAACGACCGAGCACCAGACCUCCCUCCUCUCUCCCACUAGGACGGCAGUGCAGCAUGAGACCAUUUCUCAUGUUAGUUUGCAGGAAAAAUAAAAGAAACCGCUUUCUACAUGCAAAAGGGCAUCAAAUUUUGGAAGAAGUAUGGCGUUGAAUGAAAAAAUGAGGAAAAAAAGGAUCCUCAAGCAAAUCAAGCAAUGGAAAUCUUCCUUGGUGGAGCUAGUAAUGCAAAGCUGCAAAGCUUCAGUUUUAUGUAAUCUUGGCUAAAUUGUGAUAAUUUUAUGUUGUUGUGAACCUCUGCUGUAUUGUUAAUAUUGAACUUUUCACAAAGUCCUAUGUUGAAGCUCCUCCUUCUGUUUUUCAUUUAUGUGUACUUCUAUGGUUCAAUUUAAUGCAAACCAUUUUUGUAUGUGUGAACAUCAAAGGUUCAGUGUUA